UACGGAGGGGGCUAGCGUUGUUCGGAAUUACUGGGCGUAAAGCGCGUGUAGGUGGCGAGGCAAGUCGGGUGUGAAAGCCCUGGGCUCAACCCAGGAAGUGCACUCGAUACUGCCUAGCUAGAAUCCCGGAGAGGUUGGUGGAACUCUCGGUGUAGAGGUGAAAUUCGUAGAUAUCGAGAAGAACACCGGUGGCGAAGGCGGCCAACUGGACGGUGACUGACACUGAGACGCGAAAGCGUGGGGAGCAAACAGG
rnacentral:rRNA from 1 species